rnacentral:rRNA from 1 species
AGUGAACGCUGGCGGUAGGCCUAACACAUGCAAGUCGAACGGCAGCACAGUAAGAGCUUGCUCUUACGGGUGGCGAGUGGCGGACUGGUGAGGAAUACAUCUGAAUCUACUUUUUCGUGGGGGAUAACGUAGGGAAACUUACGCUAAUACCGCAUACGACCUACGGGUGAAAGCAGGGGAUCUUCGGACCUUGCGCGAUUGAAUGAGCCGAUGUCGGAUUAGCUAGUUGGCGGGGUAAAGGCACACCAAGGCGACGAUCCGUAGCUGGUCUGAGAGGAUGAUCAGCCACACUGGAACUGAGACACGGUCCAGACUCCUACGGGAGGCAGCAGUGGGGAAUAUUGGACAAUGGGCGCAAGCCUGAUACAGCCAUACCGCGUGGGUGAAGAAGGCCUUCGGGUUGUAAAGCCCUUUUGUUGGGAAAGAAAAGCAGCAGGUUAAUACCCCGCUGUUCUGACGGUACCCAAAGAAUAAGCACCGGCUAACUUCGUG